rnacentral:lncRNA from 1 species
UGGAUAAGAGCGUCUACUAAAAUGUAAAUGUUGUCUAACAGAACACAUGUUCUUUAAUGGAAGCCUAUCAAAUAUAAUCCAGUUAGAAUUAGGAAUUCCUCAGGGUAGCUGUUUAGGCCCCUUGCUUUUUUCAAUUUUUACUAAUGACAUGCCACUGACUUUGAGUAAAGCCAGAGUUUCUAUGUAUGUGACUCAGCACUAUACACGUCAGCUACUACAGCGACUGAAAUGACUGCAACACUCAACAAAGAGCUGCAGUUAGUUUCAGAGUAGGUGGCAAGGAAUAAGUUAUCCCUAAAUAUUUCUUAAACUAAAAGCAUUUGUAUUUGGAACAAAACACUCACUAAACCCUAAACCUCAACUAAAUGUUGUAAUAAAUAAUUUGGAAAUUGAGCAAGUUGAGAUGCUAGAUUGUAAACUGUCAUGGUCAAAACAUAUUUAUGCAGUAGUAGCUAAGAUGGGGAGAAGUCUGUCUAUAAUAAAGCGAUGCUCUGCCUUCUUAACAACACUAUCAACAAGGCAGGUCCUACAGGCCCUAGUUUUGUUGCACCUUGACUACUGUUCAGUCGUGUGGUCAGGUGCCACAAAAAAGGACGUAGGAAAAUUGCAAUUGGCUCAGAACAGGGCAGCACGGCUGGCACUUGGAUGUACACAGAGAGCUAAUAUUAAUAAUAUGCAUGUCUCUCCUGCCUGAAAGUGGAGGAGAGAUUGACUUCAUCACUACUUGUAUUUAUGAGAGGUAUUGACAUGUUGAAUGCACUGAGCUGUCAGUCUAAACUACUGGCACACAGCUUGGACAGCCAUGCAUACCCCACAAGUCAUGCCACAAGAGGUCUCUUCACAGUCCCCAAGUCCAGAACAGACUAUGGGAGGCUCACAGUACUACAUAGAGCCAUGACUACAUGGAACUCUAUUCCACAUCAAGUAACUGACGCAAGCAGUAAAAUUAGAUUUAAAAAACAGAAGAAAAAAACACCUCAUUUCCCUCAUUAAAAUGCAAAUCAAUUUAUUACAUUUUUGAGAUGCGUUUUUCUGGAUUUUUGUUGUUGUUAUUCUGUCUCUCACUGUUCAAAUAAACCUACCAUUAAAAUUAUAGACUGAUCCUUUCUUUGUCAUUGGGCAAACGUACAAAAUCAGCAGGGGAUCAAAUACUUUUUUCCCUCACUGUGUGUGUGUGUUUGCGUGUGGUGGUGCUCAGUGCAUUGGAAGAUUUGUAAAUCCAUUGUGAAAGGCUAUGGAGUUUGCGUUGUGCAUUAUUCAGAUGAAAUGUGUCCAUAUAUUGGUCUUUUAGUACCACUUAUCAGUUGUAACUGUGGAUGCUACAUCGGUCUAUGGCUGAGCUCAGUUCAGCAGUGUGUCUUUUUGUUUGAUAGUCAUCUGAGCCUAUCCCUUGUGUAUCUUGGCUACAAUGGUAUUUACAUUUGGUGAAAAAUUGUUUGUCAUUUUCAGUUAAUAUCCUAUGUCAGUGUUUCUCAAUUUCAGUCCUCCAGUACUCCCAGCAGCACACAUUUUUGUUGUAGCCCCAGACAAAAUCACCUGAUUUAACUCAUUGAGGACUUGAUGAUUAGUUGACAAGAUGAAUCAGGUGAGUUGGCCGGGGCUACAACAGAAAAAGGUAUGCUGUUAGGGUACUGGAGGACUGGAGUUGGGAAACACUGGCCUAAGUCACUCUGGUUGUUGGAGCUAUCUGUUGUGUGAUGAACUGGGGCUUUAUCAAGGUUUAUUGAGUAAAGGGAGUAAAUCUGGCUUUGGUAAUAACCAGUGCCUAUCCAGUCAUUGAACUCACCACACGUCACUGUUGUGUGUCCGUAGCUUCACCUAGUGCCAAGUGGACAGUUUUUGGCCAGCUAGGCAACAAGGGCAGUUAAGGUCACCGCUACAGAAUUAAAGUCCCCCAGCCACAUUUAACAACACAACAAGCACAUACGUCACACAACAAACAAAGUGAGAUGCUGAAACAGAUGAAGGCAUUCCAAUCAGUGCAAAGAAGCCUGAAUGUUCCCCUUUAUGUGUGUCCCAAAUGGCACACGAUUUCCUAUAUAGUGCACUAUUCUUUUGACUAGAGCCCUAUGAGCCUUGUGAAAAGUAGUGCCCUAUAUAGGGAAUAGGGUGCUAUGUGGGUCGCAUACUAUGUAUUUAAAAGACUUAUUAUCAUCAUUAAUGUUUUUUAAAUCAUAUUAUUCAUAUUUGCAUAUUUGUAACAUGUGUUUCUUUAUAUCACACAGAACAGAAGGUCAGGGUUCUUUCUCAAUUACAUUUAUUUGGGUCCUGAGUGGCGCAACGGUCUGAGGCACUGCAUUUCAGUGCUAGAGGCGUCACUACAGACACGAAUCCAGGCUGUAUCACAGCGGUCUGAGGCACUGCAUUUCAGUGCUAGAGGCGUCACUACAGACACGAAUCCAGGGUGUAUUACAGCAGUCUAAGGCACUGCAUUUCAGUUCUAGAGGCGUCACUACAGACACAAAUCCAGGCUGUAUCGCAGCAGUCUGAGGCACUGCAUUUCAGUGCUAGAGGCGUCACUACAGACACAAAUCCAGACUGUAUCGCAGCGGUCUAAGGCACUGAAUUUCAGUGCUAGAGGCGUCACUACAGACACGAAUCCAGGCUGUAUUACUGCGGUCUGAGGCACUGCAUUUCAGUGCUAGAGGUGUCACUACAGACACAAAUCCAGGCUGUAUCACAACCAGCUGUGUUUUAGAAGUUUUAGAACACCUACUCAUUCAAGGGUUUUUCUUUAUUUUGACUAUUUUCUACAUUGUAGAAUAAUAGUGAAGACAUCAAAUCUAUGAAAUAACACAUAUAGAAUCAUGUAG